ACUGCAAGAUGCAAUUUCUGCUGCUGCAGCUGCUGUGGGGACAUUAUCUGAUGGGAUAGCCUGUUUUGAUGAGGAAAAUGAUGUGGUAAGAUGCUGUUUAUGAGACUAGAAUGGUCCCCAUGUAUGAGUCCCGUGUGGCUGGUCCAGCAACUUUGCAGCCGGUUAUUAAGUGAAAGGCCAGUGUUAUUCAACUGAGACAUGUUUCCACCAUAAUGGAGCCCAUGAGGCAAGCCUGGCAAAUGCACAUUAGAGUUUGACGAAGUAGAGAGAUCAGCAGUGACAUAGGGAGACUGAGGUCCAGCAGCAAGAGUUGAUAUGUGUUGCUGAUGCAAAUGGCUGCAAGAUGAGGAUUGUUG
rnacentral:lncRNA from 1 species